CGAGAUCUACAUAUUCAAAAUAUCUCUCAUAUUGUGGAAACAGCCCUUCAAAAUGCAAAUUUGGAAGUCAAAGAUCUUGACGCUAUUGCAGCAACAGUAAAACCAGGAAUGCCGCUUUCCCUGGUAGUAGGCACUGAAUUUGCCAAGAAACUGUGCAAAACAUGGAAUGUUCCAUUCAUACCCAUUCAUCACAUGGAAGCCCAUGCCCUGACAGCUAGAAUGGUGGAAAAGGUCGAUUUCCCCUUUCUAGUGCUCUUAGUCUCUGGUGGACACUGUUUACUGGCUGUGGCGAAAAAUGUCGAUGAAUUUCUCUUGCUGGGAGAAAGCGUCGACAGUGCCCCUGGAGAAGUGCUCGAUAAAGUUGCUAGAAGACUCAAAUUGAGAAACAUGCCUGCCUUUUCUACUUUAUCCGGAGGGAAAGCUAUUGAAAUGUUGGCUACGCAAGGCGACGUUACUUCCUUUGAAUACGGAAAUCAACCAAUGUUUAAAUAAAAUGAUUGUUCCUUUAGCUUCACCGGAUUGAGAGAAAAAGUCUACAAACAUAUAGGACGCGAAGAAAUCAUUCACAACACGGAAGCAAAUCAAGUGCUACCGUCUGCUGCCAACUUGUGCGCAAGUUUCCAGCACGCUCUAUUUUCCCACAUCUGCAGACGACUACAACGCGGAAUUCAUUACGUGGACAUGAAACAAAUGAUACCGGAAGGCCCAAGAAAGUUGGUACAAAAGCCGCUUCCUUUCGUGACUUGUAUGAUUACUGGUGACAGACGGUACGGUUUAAAAAUUACCUAGGUUGUAUCCGGAGGCGUGGCAUGCAACGACUACUUCCGCAAAUACCUGAGCAUUAUCUGCACCGAAAUGGGCUACACCCUUGUUUGCCCACCGCCGAAGCUAUGCACCGAUAACGGAAUCAUGAUUGCCUGGAACGGGAUGGAAAAAUUGACGGCAGGUAUUGGAAUCGCCAAAAAUGCCGACGACAUCGACGCCAUAGACAUUGAACCCAAGUAAACACAUUUAAAAAAAAUUCACUUCAUGACGUGAAAUUAAAAUUAUCCUUA